AUUGAACGCUGGCGGUAUGCUUAACACAUGCAAGUCGAACGGUAACAGGCCUUCGGGCGCUGACGAGUGGCGGACGGGUGAGUAACGCGUAGGAAUCUGCCUCAUAGUGGGGGACAACGUGGGGAAACUCACGCUAAUACCGCAUACGCCCUACGGGGGAAAGGACGGGGGAGUCUUCGGACCUCGCGCUAUGAGAUGAGCCUGCGUUAGAUUAGCUAGUUGGUAGGGUAAAGGCCUACCAAGGCGACGAUCUAUAGCUGGUCUGAGAGGACGAUCAGCCACACUGGGACUGAGACACGGCCCAGACUCCUACGGGAGGCAGCAGUGGGGGAAUAUUGGACAAUGGGCGCAAGCCUGAUCCAGCAAUACCGCGUGUGUGAAGAAGGCCCCAGGGUUGUAAAGCACUUUCAAUUGGGAGGAAAACCUAGCCGGUCAAUACCCGGCAGCUUGAC
rnacentral:rRNA from 1 species